GAGUUUCAAUGAAGGGACUAAUUUAAAAGAAAUCUUGGUGCUUCCAUCAGAUCCCCAUGAAGAACCUGUGGUAGGCAGAAAAAUACCCUCCACCCCCUACCUCAAAAUACCUACAUCCGAAUCGGCAAAACCUGUGAAAAUGUGACUUUACAUGAUAAAAGGGAUUUGCAAAUGUUAUAAAGUUAAGAUCAUAAGAUGAGGCGAUUAUCUUUGAUUACCCAAUGUGCCCAGUGAAAUCACAGGGGCCUUAGAAAAUGGAAGAGAGAGACAGAAAGCCAGAGUUGGAGGAAGGGAUGUGAGGGCAAAAGCAGAGGUCAGGGCACAGUGAUGCCAUUACUGGAAGGGUUCAUGAGCCAAGGAAUGCAGGCAGCCUCUGAAGGUUGGAGAAGGAAAAAAACCAGAUGUUCACUGGAGCCUCUGUAGGGAACACAGUCCUACUGAUAUAUUGAUUUUGGCUUUGUAAAAUCUUUACUUGAAUAUUUGACUGUAAGAUAAUAAAUUUGUGUUGUUUGUGUUGUUUUCUG
rnacentral:lncRNA from 1 species